CAGUACUUCAGCGAUCAUUUCUUGAGAUUGAAUUGGAAAAUCGUCGUCCGUGUCGUGUCAAGCACAUUUUCCAAUCAUUAUAGACGGAAAUUAUACCAAAAAGGAAAAUAAUGAGGAGAACCGCCAGCGUACUCAUUCUAGUUUUUAAUAUCGAAUUCUUUUCGGUUUUCUUUCUGUCCACGAUUGAUUUGAGAGUAUAUGGACGUCCGAUGCGAUGGACAAAAAGGGAUCUAUGUCAGGCAAUUCCCAGCCCAGCUGAUUUGGCUGCGGUUCCUCACAAUGUGCCCUUAGAAAAUACUACUUUUGCUCCGUUAUUUCUCUAUAAACAGAAGGUGGAGCUAGUCAACUAUUUUCAUCACAAGACCGUCUUUGUUUCAACCAUCGAGGAGUCAAACGCCCCGGUAGGUAUCUACAUACCCGAAGCUAGACAGGCGGACGCCGCAACUAUCCCGUCGAUCAGUGAAACCAAUAUUGGACGCUUUAAGAGCCCCAGUCCCGAUUUGGAAAUUUACAAAUGCAUCGAUACCGAUAUCCAAAUCGUAUUAAAGUUCGACGAUGAUGGGGUAGAUGACCACGGUGUGACUUUAGAAUGGCACCCGCCCGAUGAGGACUUUGGACCCGUAGAUAUUUACAUCACCAAACUUAGUUUCAAGAAGCUGAAGCAUCGCAUUCGUCGUCUUGGGCAAAACGAUCCGUGAUCGAUGACCUCACACAACUGUGGAAGUCGACGUCUAAUCGUUACAUCGGUCAGAGUCCAUAACGUUGAGAGAUAUAAACUGAAAGAAUAUCGGGGGUCUUAUUUACCUAUUCUUUUAUAGUUUUCUUUUAAAUACUCGCACGAAAUGUAGAUAACACAUGUCUUGACCUAUUUCUGCCAACUCACCAUUGUCCCUGCCCCCCCCCACACACUCCAUCUUUGAUUUUCGUAAUAUUCAGUGUAAUCUAAAUACUCAACCUUUCGAAUAUUCGCCCUGUCUCUUUUUUUCACCGCCCCUUCUCUUUCUGUCUCAUCUCAUGCAGUGUUCUCUCUAACCCUCUUUAUCAUAAUCUCCAAUUCUCCCCCUCUCCCUCUCUCUCUCUCUCUCUUUCACUCUCUCUAUCUCUCCCCUACCUCACACACACACUCUAUCUCUCUCCCUCCCUCCCUUUCUUUCUCAUUCUCUCUAUUUUCAAUCCUUUCGUCUUUUCUACUCGUCAUUAGUGUUAAAUGUAUGCUUUUUUUAAUUCUGGCAAUAGAUUCAUCACUUACCCCAGAUCUUGGAUUUUCGUUCUUUUUCAAUACAUUUUUCAUUCUCCGUCAAAGUUCAAUUUAUCCAACCUGUUAUGUCAUAAAUUAUUUGAGUUUGAUUUUUGCACUGGCUAAUAAAAACUCAAAUCACCUGUCAUUGGUACAGUUGUAGGAAAGAGGCAGAGAAAAUAAAUGUUAUCCCAAAUCUGAUUUUCACUAUUUUAGUAUCCUAUUAAACCCUUUGAACUGGAUUAAUAAAGUAAGGUGAAAUGGAUGUGACAACACGUCUAACGCAUUAUUCUUUUAAUAAGCAGGUGAUGACUGUAAAUAAUAUAGAGUGUCAUAAUCUGUCAUUGUUAUUGUAGGCCUACUGUUCGACUUCAAUAUCCAUUACUACGGUUACAGAGUACUAGACGAAAACCAAAUGCAUCCACUAUCGAGCUCUCAAUGUUUAUGAUCCAUUUGCCUAUUACCAAUGGAAGCCAACAUUUCACAGUCUGAAGUCAGCUUCAUCUCUUCCCGUGUAAAGCUCUCUACCCCUCUCUCUCUCUCUCUCUCACGCGCACACACACCCACACUCACAUACGCACACCCACGUCCCUCCUACACUCCCUCGGAUAUCAUCACACACAAUCUUACACAGGGAUCCACGUGCAAUCCAACCCCGUACCAGUCUCACGCACGCGCCAUCCUUUGCACACACACACCCACACACACCCACACUCACCCUCACCCUCACAUUUUUACAUUCCUCUUUUCUGUGUUUCCUCCAUCACUCUCCAUCGUUGUCAUUCCGUUCUUUUUCUGUUCGACCUCUUGCUCUAUUUCUGAAAGACUAGGGAUGCAUUAGUCGGAAUGCAUUUACCCGAACAUCAAUCGAAUGUCAAAAUUCAAUUUUAAAUGUCAUUUCGCUAUAGAAUUUGAUGUUUGUCUGUACUUUAUAUGUCACAUCCCAUUGGAGGACGAAUUCCUGUACGACUCUUUUUAUUAUUACAGAAUAAGAACCUUGAGUUUCGAAUCUACCUAGUUUUUCCCCAAGAAAUUAUCCUCUUCUUUAAAGGGGAAGUUCACCCUGACAAAAAGUUUAUUGUAAAAAUAGCAGAAAAAAUAAUAAAGAAUAUUGCCGAAGGUUUGAGAAAAAUUCAUCAAAUAAUUAAAAAGUUAUUAGAAUUUCAAUUAUUUGAUUUGUGACGUCAUGUGCGAGCAGCAUUCCUACAUAGCGAAUGGUAAAAAAUCAAUGAAAUGUCAUUUUCUCAGAAAAUUGAAAAUGGUUUUCACUGUACCUUUUGUAUAUCAAUAGACAAAUCAUUUCACACCCGAUCAUGAAUAGAAAAAAAAUUAAGUCAUCAGGAACCAUACAAAAUUUGAAAUUCAUGCAUUUUAUAUUACAUAACACAUGGGGCAGCUGCUCGUUUAUGACGUCACAAAUCCAAAACUUUGAACUCUAAUAACUUUCUUACUCUUUAACGGAUUUUCAUCAAACCUUCACCAAUAUUUCUUCAGGGUGAACUUCCCCUUUAAUACAAAAGAAUAGACAAGUCACAAUUGGAAUUUUACUGCCACCACUACUUACCCCCCCCCCUCACCCUCAUUCUCUAUUUCUCUCCCUCUCUAUCCCAUUUCUCCCGUCUCCAAUAUUUCUAUCAUACCUUUUUACUUCUAACAAUAGGCUUACCCUUCUCUUAGUUCUCUUUUAUGUCACUCUGUCUGAUGUUAUUUUUUUUUUAAUUUAAUUUCUCAUUCUCAUUCAGUCUCCAGUUUAUUCUUUUAUAAUUAUGUACAUUUGUUGAAAUUCCAACGUAUAGAAAGCAAUAUCAAAAGCGUAGAGGAAAUAUUGAGAACAAUAUUCUGAUUUAAUGUUUUGGUUAGCAUAUUAAUUGCUUUGAUUAGGUAUGAUGAAGAAGUUGGUGUCGAGAUCUGUCACUAUGAUUUUAACAUUGACAUCAACAAUGAUUGCAGCAUAGAAAAUAGCGUAAUAUAUAAAAGAAACUUCUACAUCUGUAGCUCCUUGUUUAUUGAUUUGUCUCUUACCAAGGGCAGUCAACGUUCUUGAAAGUCUGCAUUUUCCCUGUCAUCUCUUCCCUCCAUGUUUUUUUUUAUUGAUAAAGAUCCCCAUUUCCUUCUCUCUCUCUCUCUCUCUCUCUCUUUCUCACACAUAUCCAUUAUACACCCACCCACCCGCCUCACAUCUACAAAUCUGUACUUCUUUUUUUCCUCACACCCCUUCCCUUACACCCACACACACGAUCUCUUUCACACGCACAUCUCCCUUAACUAACCCACACAUACACGCACGCACAAACAUCAAUUCAAUAUUUUUUUUCGAAUCCAUAGUAUAGUCUAUGCCCCUCUCUUCCCUCCCCCUCUCCCUCCUCCCUACCCUACCCCACCUCUCUCUCUCUUUCCCUUUUUAUUGGGUCCCGUUUCCACCUCAUGCUCUCUUUCUUGAAGGGAAGGGAUAAUUUUGUCGGAACAUAUCUAUUCGUAUAUUUAUAAAGUGUCAAGAUUCAAUUUUCACAUUCAUUUUUCGGUUAAUCUUUUGGCUUUAUAUUAGAGGUUUGUAUGUAAUAUGAAUGUCACUCGAAAGUUGAGGAUGAUAUUUUUUUGUUAGAGGAUUAAAUGUGAAUUCCCCAUUUAUUUUCAAAAUUUAUAUGAUAAAACUUCAAUGAUUGUCCAAAUUCAUCACCGAAUAAAUCUAUCACCGAAGAGUUUGAUCUUGUGAUUCUGUAAAUGAAUACUGUAAACAGACAAAUCUCGUUCCGUUGUAAGCUAUUUCUUUUUUUUUAUACUAAACUAGUGUGAUACGGUCACUGUUUGAAACUGCUGUACAGAAAUAUUGUGAGAUUUGUAGAUCAGUGAAAGAAAUAUGAGGGAAUAAUUUACAUGUCAUGCAUUAUAAAACGAAGUAUAAUCAUGCAAAAUGGUAUUGCAUACAUUCAUAAAGAUAUGCUUUCAUGCUACGUGUAUAGCUGUAAAGGAAUCUUAUAUCUAAUGAAGUCCAUUCACCUCUUUAGUGUUGUUAUAAAACUUUUUUAAAUAAAUUUUAUGAAAGGCGUCACAUGAACAUUUCAUUUAAAUAAAUUGUAAUUAUUGUCAUCGCUAGAAGUAUAUCAGGAAAUCGAUUUUGUUGCAUAUUUUAUUGAGAUUGUUGUAUCUAUAGUUCAAGUAUAAAAAACGUAAUAUAUUGAUACGUUCCCAUAUCAGUUUAAUGUUUCUUAAAGUAAUAUUCUGACCCUUUGUCUAAUUCCAAAGUCUUUUAUUUCACAUAUAACUGAACAGUACAAUAUCAUUUCUUCUUUUCUCAACGAAUCAAUUUUAUUACACAAAAUGCUUACAAAAUAUGAUUCAUAAUGCCUUUGAUAAGAUUUUCUUUUAAGUACAUAAAACAAUCACCAUCAAAUCAUUUGAUAAAUAUACAUUAUGAAAUAGGAGCAAAUUAGGCAAGAAACCGGAAAAUGAAAUAUCCCAUUGAAAUAGUUUAUGAUUUGUUUUGUAAAAGGUAGAGUUGCAAACAUAGAAGUUCCCUUUAUAACCUCAUUACCACAAACGACCCAAGAAAUAUAUGAUAAAAAUCGAAAUUAUUCUACACAUUUCAAAUUCUCCCAUUCACAACAAUGAGUUAAAUAUUUCAUGUAAAUUCUGGUGUAUUCAAAUCUUUGUACAAACAUAAUUAUAAUGAUUUUAAAAAAUACGGUUUUCAUGAUUGUCAAAAUAAAAUACAUAUAAACAAA